GAUGAACGCUGGCGGCGUGCUUAACACAUGCAAGUCGAACGGAAAGGCUCCUGCUUGCAGGGGUACUCGAGUGGCGAACGGGUGAGUAACACGUGGGUGAUCUGCCCUGCACUUCGGGAUAAGCCUGGGAAACUGGGUCUAAUACCGGAUAGGACGAUGGUUUGGAUGCCAUUGUGGAAAGUUUUUCGGUAUGGGAUGAGCUCGCGGCCUAUCAGCUUGUUGGUGGGGUAAUGGCCUACCAAGGCGUCGACGGGUAGCCGGCCUGAGAGGGUGUACGGCCACAUUGGGACUGAGAUACGGCCCAGACUCCUACGGGAGGCAGCAGUGGGGAAGAUUGCACAAUGGGCGCAAGCCUGAUGCAGCGACGCCGCGUGGGGGAUGACGGCCUUCGGGUUGUAAACUCCUUUCGCUAGGGACGAAGCGUUUUGUGACGGUACCUGGAGAAGAAGCACCGGCUAACUACGUG
rnacentral:rRNA from 1 species